rnacentral:misc_RNA from 1 species
AAGUCGUAACAAGGUUUCCGUAGGUGAACCUGCGGAAGGAUCAUUAUUGAAUACGAUUGGUACUGAUGCUGGCUCUUUACUGGGCAUGUGCUCGUUCCAUCUAUUUAUCUUCUCUUGUGCACAUCUUGUGGUCUUGAAUUUGAAACCUCUCGCAUUCGUGCGGUUUGGGAGUCUGAAUAAAAUCUGCUCCUGCUUCGUUCAAGAUCAUGCUUUCAUAUACACUAUAAAGUUACAGAAUGUCUUUUAACGAUUGCGCAAGCAGUCAUUAAACCUAUACAACUUUCAGCAACGGAUCUCUUGGCUCUCCUAUCGAUGAAGAACGCAGCGAAAUGCGAUAAGUAAUGUGAAUUGCAGAAUUCAGUGAAUCAUCGAAUCUUUGAACGCACCUUGCGCCCUUUGGUAUUCCGAAGGGCAUGCCUGUUUGAGUGUCAUUAAAUUAUCAACCUUGCUCGCUUUUACUAGCUUGAGUUUGGCUUGGAUGUGAGGGCUUUGCUGGCUUCCUUCAGUGGAUGGUCUGCUCCCUUUAAAUGCAUUAGUGGGAUCUCUUGUGGACCGUCACUUGGUGUGAUAAUUAUCUAUGCCUUGAGACUUUGAAGCAAACUAAUGGGAACCUGCUUAUAACCGUCUUCGGACAAUCUCUGACAUUUUGACCUCAAAUCAGGUAGGACUACCCGCUGAACUUAAGCAUAUCAAUAAGCGGAGGAAAAGAAACUAACAAGGAUUCCCCUAGUAACUGCGAGUGAAGCGGGAAAAGCUCAAAUUUAAAAUCUGGCGGUCCUUGUGGCCGUCCGAGUUGUAAUUUAGAGAA